CCGAGUUGUAAUUUGUAGAGGAUGUUUCGGCGAGUGCUCCCGUCUAAGUUCCUUGGAACAGGACGUCAUAGAGGGUGAGAAUCCCGUAUGUGAUGGGUUGCGCGAGCCAUGUGAAACUCCUUCGACGAGUCGAGUUGUUUGGGAAUGCAGCUCUAAAUGGGAGGUAAAUUUCUUCUAAAGCUAAAUACCGGCCAGAGACCGAUAGCGCACAAGUAGAGUGAUCGAAAGAUGAAAAGCACUUUGGAAAGAGAGUUAAAAAGUACGUGAAAUUGUUGAAAGGGAAGCGCUUGCAACCAGACUUGCUCGCAGUUGCUCAACCCGCCUCCUGGUGGGUGUACUCUUCUGCGGUCAGGCCAGCAUCAGUUCGGGCGGUCGGAUAA
rnacentral:rRNA from 1 species